rnacentral:rRNA from 1 species
CCUACGGGAGGCAGCAGUGGGGAAUAUUGGACAAUGGGGGCAACCCUGAUCCAGCCAUGCUGCGUGUGUGAAGAAGGCCCUCGGGUUGUAAAGCACUUUCAGUGAGGAAGAACGCCUGGUGGUUAAUACCCAUCAGGAAAGACAUCACUCACAGAAGAAGCACCGGCUAACUCCGUGCCAGCAGCCGCGGUAAUACGGAGGGUGCGAGCGUUAAUCGGAAUUACUGGGCGUAAAGCGCGCGUAGGUGGCUUGAUAAGCCGGUUGUGAAAGCCCCGGGCUCAACCUGGGAACGGCAUCCGGAACUGUCAAGCUAGAGUGCAGGAGAGGAAGGUAGAAUUCCCGGUGUAGCGGUGAAAUGCGUAGAGAUCGGGAGGAAUACCAGUGGCGAAGGCGGCCUUCUGGACUGACACUGACACUGAGGUGCGAAAGCGUGGGUAGCAAACAGGAUUAGAUACCCUAGUAGUC